GCCUGCAACAUAGUGUUAAUGCACCAGAUCCCAUUAGAACUUCAUAGUUAAGAGUGCUCAAUAUAGAGUAGUACUGGGAUGGGUGACCACUCAAGAAGUCCUAGUGUUUUACAUGCC
rfam:Picea glauca, whole genome shotgun sequence.